AUUCCCUGCAGUUGAGCAGAACUCUGUUGCCAUGUUUUUCACAUAAAUUCAAAGAUACCUUCAUAGUCUUUAGACUAACUGAGCAACAUGCCUUUAGAAAGAAAACUUCCUUCUCU
rnacentral:lncRNA from 12 species